CGAGCAGACGUACAUAUGUGUUCAAUUGUCGAACGAAGCUGGAGAAAUUGUUGUGCUUGAAACAUUUAGGAAGCAAAUCCCUGGCAAAAACCGUAGGAUUCCACACGACGAACGUAGAUCCGUCGUCGUUCCACGAGAUCACGUCGUCCACUGUGCUAUCGUCCACCAGCUGAUAAGUUUUGGUCAAGAAUGGAGUCGGGAGAGACCUCUGCAAGUCACCUGCCGGCGACGCCGGCUCCCCGUUCUGCUCCGUCGGCGUCGGGCCCAUCGCCGGAGCUCCUAAAGCAGAAAGACAAAGCAGAUCCGUUCGCGCGCGAGAGAGAGAGAGAGAGAAGAAUGGGAGUUCUAGAAGGUUCGGAUUGAAGAUUUGAAGGAUGAGGAUGGAGAAGAGAGAGAAAGAGAGGGACGGUGGAGAAUUGGAGGAAGGAAGCCCACAUGUGAGAGAGAAGUAGGGAAAGAACGCGAAGGUCCAUCAGUGUGUCGGUCCUGGUAGCUAAAGGGACUGGGGAGAUUAUUUUUGGUCAGCUUACAUAAGCAUUUGAAUCUUGUAUUAAACCUAGAUGGAAUUCCUUUUUGGAGGGUUGUAACAACAAGAUGUAUUCUAAGUCCGAAUUUAUGCAAAUUUAUGGAUGUAUUAGUAAACUCUAGUAUAAAUCUAGUAGAAAUCCCAAUGGAUGUUUAUGUUU